CAGUAGCCGCGGUAAUACGUAGGGUGCGAGCGUUAAUCGGAAUUACUGGGCGUAAAGCGUGCGCAGGCGGUUGUGUAAGACAGGUGUGAAAUCCCCGGGCUUGACCUGGGAACUGCGCUUGUGACUGCACAGCUAGAGUAUGGCAGAGGGGGGUGGAAUUCCACGUGUAGCAGUGAAAUGCGUAGAGAUGUGGAGGAACACCGAUGGCGAAGGCAGCCCCCUGGGCCAAUACUGACGCUCAUGCACGAAAGCGUGGGGAGCAAACAGGAUUAGAUACCCCUGUAGUCCCUGUCUCUUAUAC
rnacentral:rRNA from 1 species